rnacentral:rRNA from 1 species
GCUUAACACAUGCAAGUCGAGGGGCAGCAUGGUCUUAGCUUGCUAAGGCCGAUGGCGACCGGCGCACGGGUGAGUAACGCGUAUCCAACCUGCCUUACACUCUUGGACAGCCUUCUGAGAGGGAGAUUAAUACAAGAUGUUAUCAUGAGUAAGCAUUUUCGCAUGAUUAAAGGUUUACCGGUGUAAGAUGGGGAUGCGUUCCAUUAGAUAGUAGGCGGGGUAACGGCCCACCUAGUCUUCGAUGGAUAGGGGUUCUGAGAGGGAGGUCCCCCACAUUGGAACUGAGACACGGUCCAAACUCCUACGGGAGGCAGCAGUGAGGAAUAUUGGUCAAUGGACGAGAGUCUGAACCAGCCAAGUAGCGUGAAGGAUGAAGGUUCUAUGGAUUGUAAACUUCUUUUAUACGGGAAUAAACGAAUCCACGCGUGGAUUUUUGCAUGUACCGUAUGAAUAAGGAUCGGCUAACUCCGUGCCAGCAGCCGCGGUAAUACGGAGGAUCCGAGCGUUAUCCGGAUUUAUUGGGUUUAAAGGGAGCGUAGAUGGGUUGUUAAGUCAGUUGUGAAAGUUUGCGGCUCAACCGUAAAAUUGCAAUUGAUACUGGCAGUCUUGAGUACAGUUGAGGUAGGCGGAAUUCGUGGUGUAGCGGUGAAAUGCUUAGAUAUCACGAAGAACUCCGAUUGCGAAGGCAGCUUACUAACCUGUAACUGACAUUGAUGCUCGAAAGUGUGGGUAUCAAACAGGAUUAGAUACCCUGGUAGUCCACACGGUAAACGAUGAAUACUCGCUGUAGGCGAUAUACAGUCUGCGGCCAAGCGAAAGCAUUAAGUAUUCCACCUGGGGAGUACGCCGGCAACGGUGAAACUCAAAGGAAUUGACGGGGGCCCGCACAAGCGGAGGAACAUGUGGUUUAAUUCGAUGAUACGCGAGGAACCUUACCCGGGCUUAAAUUGCAACCGAAUAUGGCGGAAACGCUAUAGCUAGCAAUAGCGGUUGUGAAGGUGCUGCAUGGUUGUCGUCAGCUCGUGCCGUGAGGUGUCGGCUUAAGUGCCAUAACGAGCGCAACCCUUGCCGAUAGUUACUAACAGGUCAUGCUGAGGACUCUGUCGGGACUGCCAUCGUAAGAUGUGAGGAAGGUGGGGAUGACGUCAAAUCAGCACGGCCCUUACGUCCGGGGCUACACACGUGUUACAAUGGGGGGUACAGAGGGCUGCUACCACGCAAGUGGAUGCCAAUCCCAAAAACCUCUCUCAGUUCGGAUUGAAGUCUGCAACCCGACUUCAUGAAGCUGGAUUCGCUAGUAAUCGCGCAUCAGCCACGGCGCGGUGAAUACGUUCCCGGGCCUUGUACACACCGCCCGUCAAGCCAUGGGAGCCGGGGGUACCUGAAGUGCGUAACCGCAAGGAGCGCCCUAGGGUAAAACUGGUGACUGGGGCUAA